rnacentral:rRNA from 1 species
UCGGACGGGAUCCGUUGGUAGCUUGCUAUCAAUGGUGAGAGUGGCGCACGGGUGCGUAACGCGUGAGCAACCUACCUCUAUCAGGGGGAUAGCCUCUCGAAAGAGAGAUUAACACCGCAUAAUAUAAUCCACCGGCAUCGGGAGAUUAUUAAAUAUUUAUAGGAUAGAGAUGGGCUCGCGUGACAUUAGCUAGUUGGUAGGGUAACGGCUUACCAAGGCGACGAUGUCUAGGGGCUCUGAGAGGAGAAUCCCCCACACUGGUACUGAGACACGGACCAGACUCCUACGGGAGGCAGCAGUAAGGAAUAUUGGUCAAUGGGCGGAAGCCUGAACCAGCCAUGCCGCGUGCAGGAUGACUGCCCUAUGGGUUGUAAACUGCUUUUGUCCAGGAAUAAACCUAGAUACGUGUAUCUAGCUGAAUGUACUGGAAGAAUAAGGAUCGGCUAACUCCGUGCCAGCAGCCGCGGUAAUACGGAGGAUCCGAGCGUUAUCCGGAUUUAUUGGGUUUAAAGGGUGCGUAGGCGGCCUAUUAAGUCAGGGGUGAAAUACGGUGGCUCAACCAUCGCAGUGCCUUUGAUACUGAUGGGCUUGAAUCCAUUUGAAGUGGGCGGAAUAAGACAAGUAGCGGUGAAAUGCAUAGAUAUGUCUUAGAACUCCGAUUGCGAAGGCAGCUCACUAAGCUGGUAUUGACGCUGAUGCACGAAAGCGUGGGGAUCGAACAGGAUUAGAUACCCUGGUAGUCCACGCCCUAAACGAUGAUAACUCGAUGUUGGCGAUAGACAGCCAGCGUCUUAGCGAAAGCGUUAAGUUAUC